rnacentral:rRNA from 1 species
AUGAUGAAUCUCAUCCAACUCCUCACCGACCAGCGAGCCUACGACGGAAUUACUCACUCCCGGUGGGGAGCAUCAUGGCAUUGGCGAUGGAGAUGUGUUGGUGAUAACGAAGAUCAAAGAUCCCCCUCUUCGGAGCCCCAAACGGACUCCAGAUCUGCCUUCCCGAGGAAGAACAGGGCUUGGCGGCGGCUCCGUCUCGUGAAACGCAAUAAUUAUCUCCCUGUUUUUACUGAAAAUAUGGGAUUUUAUAGCGUCGGUUUGGACGUCCGUGGGGCCACCCAGGUGCCCCCUCAGGUCCAACCUGGCUUCAGAAAUUCUCUUUUAUUGUAUAAAAAUCCUCGCAAAGUUUUAUUCCAUUCUGAGAACUUUUAUUUCUGCACAAAAAACAACACCAUGGUAGUUCUGCUGAAAACAGCGUCAGUUCGGGGUUAG